AAGGAGAAAGGGUAGAGGGAGAGGGUAGAGGAGAAGGAGAAAGGGUAGAGGGAGAAGGUAGAUGAGAAGGAGAAAGGGUAGAGGGAGAAGGUAGAUGAGAAGGAGAAAGGGUAGAGGGAGAAGGUAGAUGAGAAGGAUAAUUGGUUGAGGGAGAGGGAGAAGGUAGAGGAGAAGGAGAAAGGGUAGAGGGAGAAGGUAGAUGAGAAGGAUAAUUGGUUGAGGGAGAGGGAGAAGGUAGAGGAGAAGGAGAAAGGGUAGAGGGAGAAGGUAGAUGAGAAGGAUAAUUGGUUGAGGGAGAGGGAGAAGGUAGAGGAGAAGGAGAAAGGGUAGAGGGAGAAGGUAGAUGAGAAGGAUAAUUGGUUGAGGGAGAGGGAGAAGGUAGAGGAGAAGGAGAAAGGGUAGAGGGAGAAGGUAGAUGAGAAGGAUAAUUGGUUGAGGGAGAGGGAGAAGGUAGAGGAGAAGGAGAAAGGGUAGAGGGAGAAGGUAGAUGAGAAGGAUAAUUGGUUGAGGGAGAGGGAGAAGGUAGAGGAGAAGGAGAAAGGGUAGAGGGAGAAGGUAGAUGAGAAGGAUAAUUGGUUGAGGGAGAGGGAGAAGGUAGAGGAGAAGGAGAAAGGGUAGAGGGAGAAGGUAGAUGAGAAGGAUAAUUGGUUGAGGGAGAGGGAGAAGGUAGAGGAGAAGGAGAAAGGGUACAUUUACAUUACAUUUAAGUCAUUUAGCAGACGCUCUUAUCCAGAGCGACUUACAAAUUGGAAGAGGGAGAA